UGGGGAAUCUUGCGCAAUGGCCGAAAGGCUGACGCAGCGACGCCGCGUGUGGGAUGACGGCCUUCGGGUUGUAAACCACUGUCGGAAGGGACGAAUGGCCCGCAAGGGCAGUGACGGUACCUUCAAAGGAAGCACCGGCUAACUCCGUGCCAGCAGCCGCGGUAAUACGGAGGGUGCGAGCGUUGUCCGGAAUCACUGGGCGUAAAGGGCGCGUAGGCGGCCCGGUAAGUAGGGGGUGAAAUCUUGCGGC
rnacentral:rRNA from 1 species